rnacentral:rRNA from 1 species
AUGAAUCUAAUAAGUUGGAACUGCCGGGGUGGGGGGAAUACCCGGACAGUUCGAGAAGUGGCGACUUUCGUCAAGUCGCAUUCCCCCGUUUUAGUUUUUUUAUGUGAAACAAGGCAGCCAAAAGAUAAAAUGAAGAAACACCGGGCAAAGUUUGGCUUGAAGGGUUUUGACGGAGUUGAUAGCAUUGGCAACAGUGGUGGUUUGGCUUUAUAUUGGCAUGAACCUAUUGAGGUGAAGGUUGUGCUUGCAAGUCAGAGAUGCAUUGAUGCACAUGUAAAACUUGGGCCUGAUGAGGAGACUUGGCGUCUCACCUGUGUCUAUGGAGAACUAAGAGUGGAGGAUAGACACAAAAUGUGGACUCUUCUUACUGAUUUAAGUACCCAGUCUAGUUUGCCAUGGUUUGUGGUAGGAGAUUUCAAUGAGUGCCUGUGGGAUUUUGAGCAUUUCUCUCUGGCGCCUAGACCUGAAGCACAGAUGCAAGCAUUUCGAGACUCUCUUGAAAUAUGUGAACUUGCAGACUUGGGUUUCUCGGGAGUCCCACACACCUAUGAUAAUAAGAGAAGCGGCAAUAGCAAUGUGAAAGCACGACUAGAUCGGGCGGUUGCAUCCCCUAGCUGGCGCAACUGUUUUGAGCACCCACCUGCGUCGGACCAUGUGGCGCUGCAUGUAUGA